AACGAACGCUGGCGGCAUGCCUAACACAUGCAAGUCGAACGAAGCCUUCGGGCUUAGUGGCGCAUGGGUGCGUAACGCGUGGGAAUCUGCCCUUGGGUUCGGAAUAACAGUUAGAAAUGACUGCUAAUACCGAAUGAUGUCUUCGGACCAAAGAUUUAUCGCCCAAGGAUGAGCCCGCGUCGGAUUAGCUAGUUGGUGAGGUAAAGGCUCACCAAGGCGACGAUCCGUAGCUGGUCUGAGAGGAUGAUCAGCCACACUGGGACUGAGAUACGGCCCAGACUCCUACGGGAGGCAGCAGUGGGGAAUAUUGGACAAUGGGGGGCAACCCUGAUCCAGCAAUGCCGCGUGAGUGAUGAAGGCCUUAGGGUGUAAAGCUCUUUGCCAGGGAAGAUGAUGACUGUACCUGGAGAAUAAGCCCCGGACUAACUUCGUGCCAGCAGCCGCGGUAAU
rnacentral:rRNA from 1 species